GACGAACGCUGGCGGCGUGCCUAAUACAUGCAAGUAGAACGCACAGUAUAUACCGUAGCUUGCUACACCAUAGACUGUGAGUUGCGAACGGGUGAGUAACGCGUAGGUAACCUGCCUGGUAGCGGGGGAUAACUAUUGGAAACGAUAGCUAAUACCGCAUAAUAUUAAUUAUUGCAUGAUAAUUGAUUGAAAGAUGCAACUGCAUCACUACCAGAUGGACCUGCGUUGUAUUAGCUAGUAGGUGAGGUAACGGCUCACCUAGGCGACGAUACAUAGCCGACCUGAGAGGGUGAUCGGCCACACUGGGACUGAGACACGGCCCAGACUCCUACGGGAGGCAGCAGUAGGGAAUCUUCGGCAAUGGACGAAAGUCUGACCGAGCAACGCCGCGUGAGUGAAGAAGGUUUUCGGAUCGUAAAGCUCUGUUGUAAGAGAAGAACGGGUGUGAGAGUGGAAAGUUCACACUGUGACGGUAUCUUACCAGAAAGGGACGGCUAACUACGUGCCAGCAGCCGCGGUAAUACGUAGGUCCCGAGCGUUGUCCGGAUUUAUUGGGCGUAAAGCGAGCGCAGGCGGUUAGAUAAGUCUGAAGUUAAAGGCUGUGGCUUAACCAUAGUACGCUUUGGAAACUGUUUAACUUGAGUGCAGAAGGGGAGAGUGGAAUUCCAUGUGUAGCGGUGAAAUGCGUAGAUAUAUGGAGGAACACCGGUGGCGAAAGCGGCUCUCUGGUCUGUAACUGACGCUGAGGCUCGAAAGCGUGGGGAGCGAACAGG
rnacentral:rRNA from 1 species